rnacentral:rRNA from 1 species
UACGUAGGGGGCAAGCGUUGUCCGGAAUCAUUGGGCGUAAAGAGCGUGUAGGCGGCCCGGUAAGUCCGCUGUGAAAGUCCAGGGCUCAACCCUGGGAUGCCGGUGGAUACUGUCGGGCUCGAGUCCGGAAGAGGAGUGUGGAAUUCCUGGUGUAGCGGUGAAGUGCGCAGAUAUCAGGAGGAACACCGGUGGCGAAGGCGGGUCUCUGGGCCGAUACUGACGCUGAGGAGCGAAAGCGUGGGGAGCGAACAGG